GACGAACGCUGGCGGCGUGCCUAACACAUGCAAGUCGAGCGGAGUCGAUCGACGGAAGCCUUCGGGCGGAAGAUGGUUGACUUAGCGGCGGAUGGGUGAGUAACGCGUGGGCAACCUGCCUCGAAGACCGGGAUAACAGCCCGAAAGGGCUGCUAAUACCGGAUGUGGUCAAAGAUCCGCAUGGAUUUUGAUUAAAGGGGAAACCCGUUUCGAGAUGGGCCCGCGUCCUAUCAGCUAGUUGGUGAGGUAAAAGCUCACCAAGGCGACGAUGGGUAGCCGGCCUGAGAGGGUGGACGGCCACACUGGGACUGAGACACGGCCCAGACUCCUACGGGGGGCAGCAGUAGGGAAUCUUCGGCAAUGGGCGGAAGCCUGACCCAGCCAUGCCGCGUGAAGGAAGACGGCCUUAUGGGUUGUAAACUUCUUUACUAUGCGACUAACUAGAUUUACGAGAUAAUUCUAUAGAAUGUAGCAUAGCAAAAAGCACCGGCUAACUCCGUG
rnacentral:rRNA from 1 species